UACGUAGGGUGCGAGCGUUGUCCGGAAUUAUUGGGCGUAAAGUGUGCGCAGGCGGCCAUGCAAGUCGAGUGUGAAAGCCCCGGGCUUAACUUGGGAAUUGCGCUCGAAACUACGUGGCUGGAGUGUGGCAGAGGAAGGUGGAAUUCCACGUGUAGCGGUGAAAUGCGUAGAGAUGUGGAGGAACACCAGUGGCGAAGGCAGCCUUCUGGGCCAACACUGACGCUCAUGCACGAAAGCGUGGGGAGCAAACAGG
rnacentral:rRNA from 1 species